rnacentral:rRNA from 1 species
CACGUAGUUAGCCGUGGCUUCCUCCUCAGGUACCGUCAUUAUCGUCCCUGAAGACAGGGCUUUACAACCCGAAGGCCGUCAUCACUCACGCGGCGUUGCUGCAUCAGGGUUUCCCCCAUUGUGCAAUAUUCCCCACUGCUGCCUCCCGUAGGAGUCUGGGCCGUGUCUCAGUCCCAAUGUGGCCGAUCACCCUCUCAGGUCGGCUACGCAUCGUCGCCUUGGUGAGCCGUUACCUCACCAACUAGCUAAUGCGCCGCGGGCCCAUCUCAUAGCGGAUUGCUCCUUUAAUUGCUACUUCAUGCGAAGCUACAAUCUUAUGCGGUAUUAAUCUCCCUUUCGGAAGGCUAUUCCCCUCUAUGAGGCAGGUUGCCCACGUGUUACUCACCCGUCCGCCGCUAGCUUUGUUCCGAAGACUCCACUCGCUCGACUUGCAUGUGCUAGGCACGCCGCCAGCUUCG